UACGGAGGGUGCAAGCGUUAUCCGGGUUCACUGGGUUUAAAGGGUGCGCAGGCGGAUAUGUAAGUCAGUGGUGAAAUCUCCGGGCUUAACCCGGAACUGCCGUUGAUACUAUAUAUCUUGAAUGCUGUGGAGGUAAGCAGAAUAUGUCAUGUAGCGGUGAAAUGCUUAGAGAUGACAUAGAAUACCUAUUGCGAAGGCAGCUUACUACGCAGAGAUUGACGCUCAUGCACGAAAGCGUGGGGAUCAAACAGGA
rnacentral:rRNA from 1 species